UGACAGUCAGUUCUACAGUCAUCAGAGAGAGAGACUCAGUUCAGCUGAGCUGUCAGACUCCCCUAUCUGGCUCUGUGUCUCAGUGUUACUUCUACACAGAGGGGAGAGAUCCUAAACCCUCACCCUGUACGCAAUCACUCACGGGGACUGAGCUGCUCUCGUGGGCAUUUCAAAGUUCAUCAGCUGAGAUCAAACUGAGAUGUUUUUACACUGUAGAAUCUCACUAUCCAUCGAUGCACAGUGAUUCAGUCUCUGUUACUAUUCUUGAUCCAAAACCAGACAUUAGAGUCAAUAUUGAUGAGGACUUCAACAUCAUCUGUUUGAUUCCUGGAUCCGUCAGUCCUGACUCCACCUGUAACCUGUAUGUUGGAGAGGAGAGUCAGCCGAGAGAAAAGCCAUCUCAGCAUCCGGACAGCAGUUCUGUCAAUUCACUCCAAAACAUAGUGAUGUGAUCAGUCGUCUACAGUCAGUGAGGCGUAAGGAGGUGAGCUGUGACUACAGAGUGAGCUCAGGACCAAACUCUCUCUCUCCACGCAGUUAUGGGCACAGCUUUGCACAUCUGGUGGGAGUUCACAUCAGUGAUCCAACAACUAUACAGACACCUUCUAUAGCAGUGGGUUUGACUCCAGGUCCUGGGUCAUUUUUGCCGCCCAGCACGACAGUGAGUCCUACAGAAGUUUUGACUGUUACUUCUACUUUGACCACAGUGACACCAACUACCAGUUUGACCUUUCC